GUCGGGCUCUGCUCCCAGGGAACACCAGGAUGAGAAAUGGCCCCAGAUUCCUCCAGGAGAGGGUCACGAUGGACAGCAGCAGGAAUUUCCUCAUGGGAAGGGUGGUCAGGCUUUGGAACAGCCCAGGAGGGAUUGGAGGAGGGAAAUCCCCA